AGGAUGAACGCUAGCGGCAGGCUUAACACAUGCAAGUCGAGGGGUAUAGAGAGCUUGCUUUCUAGAGACCGGCGCACGGGUGCGUAACGCGUAUGCAAUCUACCUUUUACAGCGGGAUAGCCCAGAGAAAUUUGGAUUAAUACCGCAUAGUAUAACGACUCGGCAUCGAGAUGUUAUUAAAGAUUUAUUGGUGGAAGAUGGGCAUGCGUCUGAUUAGCUAGUUGGCGGGGUAACGGCUCACCAAGGCGACGAUCA
rnacentral:rRNA from 1 species